GGGAGCAAGCCUGACAGCUGGAAGAGGUGCUGCUCCCAGGACUGAGCUAAGGCUGCAUAUUUGCAGCCGGAGUGGAAAGGGAAAAUGGCUUUCAGCAACCACACAAAUGGCAGUUCGAUCAUGCCGAAAUUAUUCCAUAUGUAUGUGGAGCAAAAGAAGACCCUUCGAUUCAACAACCACAGCAACCCAGCCUUGGAGAUGCAGGAGGAGAUAAUGGCAUCUUUCUAUAUCCUCAUCAUUGUUGGGUUUUUUGGCUUUCUUCUGUUUGUCAUGAUGCUCAGCAACAUUGUUUCCAGCAAGCCUGAAAACUACAUUGACUAUCUCUAUUCUGGAAAGCUUAAUCCUCAGAGAAGCAGGGUGGAGCUUUCGGGAAAGGAGAGCAAAGACACUUUUGUUAUCAUCAACAGUGCUGCCUUAAUGGAUCUGCAAAAGCAGGACAUCAAGUAUAUCACCGGACUGGAGGCACCGAGCACAGACGCAGUUCUGAGGAAUGUAUGAAACUUCUUUUGUAUUAUUACUAUUCUGUUGCGUGUAAGGAGCUCCAAUAGGGAUAUUUUUUCAUUUAUGAAAGUGAGAAAGGAGGAGCUGUGCCAGGGCAGAUGCAGCCUGGUCUUGUGCAAGCUUCCCGCAUGAUAACUGUGAAGGUUCCCAAGCACAAUGAGCAACCUGUGCUAUUUCAGCCCCGGUCCUUUGGAGGACAGGCUAGGAAUCAAGUCCUUACUGGCCUACUUCCUUCAUGGCUGCAUUUAUUGCGUGCUUUUCUAACUUCCCGCUCUGGAAAAUGGAAGACUUGCUUCAAGCAGGGCAUUGUUUCUAGUUGGGGCAUUGCUGUUGUGCCUGUUUGCUGUUAUUAAGGAUUUAUUUAUUUGGGAAGUUGGAGCUAUCACUGAGCCCAUUGGGUUUGUGCUCUGCAAGCAGAGAGAGCUGCAACAGCCUCUGCGUCCACCCUCACCAUCAUGCUGAGCAGCCAUGGAGCUAAGCCCAUGAUCAGCCUUCUCAAAAGGGAGAUUACUUCAAGGGCCUGGAGGCACACACAAAACUUGAACUUAUUUGCUUGCUUGGCAGGCUUGGUCUGCAGUGGGGUUUUUGACAUUGGUCAUGCAUUUCUUAGCAGCGCUCUUCCCGCACACUGAACCUCUCCCAUAGCCCAGGACAAUGAGGUGGUCUGAGGCAUCCUGAUGUCUCCCCAAAGCCUCUCAAAGGACUUACCUGUCCACCACCAGGACUUAAGAGCCACAGCCUUUGGGCUGUGCUGCUGUUGCAUCAGUAAUCCCAGACUGAUUCCUUCAGUCUAGUGCUAAUCCCUUCAACAUGAAACCCCACUAGCCCCCAGCCUCUGCUGCUUCCUUUGGUGGUAGCCAGUAAGCAGGAGCCUGGCAUGGCAGCUUGAGGGUGCUUUCUGCUUUGAUGCUGGUAACCACGCCUCAGUAGGCACAAGAAGAUGCAGUUUGCUCACCACACAGAUCAGGGGUGUUCAUCCCAAGUCCUGCAGAGCCCUGGCACACAGGUGCUGAGGACAGUCGUUUUGGGGAGGCACUCAUCAGCAGUGGACUUGAGCUCGCAAAUACCGGUCCUUGCAUUCAUUGGAAAAGUCUCAGGAAUCUGGAAACUAUUGGUGAAAGUACACUGAGAACAUGAGGGCAUUUUGAAGCAAAGAUCCUACUAGGUCCUUCAAAAUUAUAUGCUUGUGGGGUGAUGUUGCUGGUUCCAUUCAGACACCUUUGUGUUUCUGUGUGUUUUUACUUUCUGUUAUUGAUAGGAAGAAAGUUCUCAACAAUCUGAUACUUUAAAAAGCAUUCCUUUCCUUUUCUCCUGUAAUUUUUCUUCAACAGGCUGUUACUAAAUCCAUAGCUUCGUGUUUGCUGGUUUUUUUUUUUAAUCAUUUUCUGCCACAAUGUACUGUUAUUAUUGUGAGUUUUUGCCACUUCUUGCCUGGAAAUAAUUUACUUCAUGUGGCCCAUAUCCUAAAAGGGAAUUUCCACAGCCUGAUCUUGUAAGACACGUUUCAAGGCUGAUACUUCUAGCCAGUAGCCAAGAUGAAACCCAUACCACUCUCUUGGCUUUCCACACUUCUUGCUUGAAUUCCAGAGAUUCAGCUUUCCAAUGCAGGCAUCUCCUUUUUUGGACAGGUGCAUAUUACCCAGGCACCGUCUCCAGCAGAGACUAAUUAGGCAGUUCUGUCAGUUUUGGUCCCUGUUACCUUUGGCUUCAUCACGGCGUUUGGUUUAAUAACUGUGUGCUUUGAACCAUUAUCUCCUAUUUAUGCUCACUGCUCCUGACUGCGCUCGGUAGCCAUGCUCCCAUUACCACAGCUCAGCUAUUCAGAUCUUAAAAAUUAGAGGUGUUUUGAAGGUGGGAAAAACACUUGCGGUUCCAGAUUUGUUCCUUCUACUCAGCAUGGGUGUUUUUCACAAGAAGGCAAAUACUGCAGUCCAUUUUGAAGAAAGAUAAAUAGCUGGCCACUGCCAGCACUGAGAAGAGACUUUAGGCUGGCUUCGUGCAGCGGUGACAGUUUCUCCUGCUUUGCAGACCUGAUUUAUCUAUUUUCCAGUCAUGCAACGGUGUCAGCAAACAGAAUCAAAUCCCUUUUUCCAUGAGUGUUUGAUACAAGCUUCAGACAUCCAUCACUGCACAGAACUCUGUGCAGUGAAAUUUCACCUCCUUCAGCAGUGGCCUCUGCUUUUCUUGACAGGCUGAGGCAAGGGAAGCACCAGAAUAGAGGGUGAACUCUAACGUGCUGUUUGCCUACCUGAAACUCAGCUUCUGAAAACUCAUUUAUUGCUAAUGUAUGGCUGAAGUGUUGAUUGAUAUCCCCUUGGGUCUCCCCUGCUUACAUCAAUAAUCUGCUCUUGCAAUCUGGGCAUGCAGGAGAGGUGGGCCCUUCCCCAGCCUGUGCUCACCAUGCAACAGGGUCUCUACACUGUGUACUGAGCACUUGAAUCAGACUGAACAUUGGUAAUGGAUCCGGUGUCUCUGUCUCCUUCCCAAACUGAGGAACAUUCAUCCGCUCUAUGCCAGCUCCUUACUGGCGUGAGAUCCCAGGUGUGAUCCUCCCAUUCUGUGCUCUGUGAAGGAAACCUCUCCAUGAAGGAUGAGUGGGAGCUGAUGCUCUACUGGGUCUCUUCCAUGUGGAAGAACGUGUCCCCUCAUGAAUAGGUCCCCCUGGCCUGUGGGGCCAGGAACUUGAAGUGUCAGCUGAGUGCAGCUUCAGUCUCUGUGUUGAAGGAGUUUGUGCAUCACCAAUGACCCAGGACAUUCUCAUGAGCUGCUGGCAGUUAGUCUUCCCAAAUGGUUUGAGUGGUGGUGACAGUAGGAAUGGGGUGCCCUUCCUUUGGUCUGACUGAGCUUGGGCACCUUAUUCCCUUAUUCCCUGCCUGGUACUCCUGGAGGGUUUGCAAGGCAGCUACAAAUAGUGCCCUGCCUUGCUGAGCUCUUCUGUUCUUCAUCUUGGUGGUCAAGUGCCACUGGGCUUUGAAACACUUUCCCUUCUCUUUUCCCUUCUCUAUCUUAGGGACAUGCAAAUGUGUACAUGCUAUUUCAGCCACAUCUCCUAAACAGCUUCAACUCCUGAAGAUGCCCCUUUCCUACGCAUUCCAGGCAAUAGAGGGAGCUGUGUCUCAGAUGCCACCAAUGGAGAAGUGCUAAGCUCAACCUUUGUGAGCUUACGCGGGAAACUGAAUUUCAUCAGUUUUCACAAGGUGCCUCACUGAUCUUUGUGGGAAUCCUCCAGCACUUGUACUAAUUCUGUUCUGAGAAAUUUGGCACUCUUACUUGAGAUAUUGGCUCAAUUUAUUUUCCAAAGUUUCUACCUUUCUCCGUGUUUCCAUCCUUGGGCCAUCGCUGAUUUUGGCAAGUGCUUCUCUUAUUGGUUCCAUCGUGGAUCCAGAGGCUAAAAUUACAUACUUCUGGAAAUUGUCUGUUGAUAUCAGAAGCAUUGCUUUGGUGUGAGACUUUAGCUGGUGCUCAGUAUGCCAUCAGACAGCCAGGAGUGAAAAUAGAUUAUUUCAAUUGGGAAUGGCAUUUUUUUAGGAAAAAAAAAAUACUAG